rnacentral:lncRNA from 1 species
UUUUAGCCCGUGUUCACAAAACAUGCACACAACACACUAAACACAAUACACUAGACACACAGUAUCAGGGUGGUUUCCAAAUCACUAGGCUAAUCAGCCUUGAAUUCUCAACAUUUUCAAAUGCAAAAGUCGUGUUGGGGGGUGCUGAUGCUGAAUGGGGACUGUGACAUGGAAUUCUCUUUCCUCUGAACAGCCAAGGCUUUACUCUCUUCUACUCCUACCCGGAGAAGGUAAAGCAUGUAGUGACCUCAGGGACUGCUUACCCCUUAAGGAUUUACUUCCAGGGGUGCGUGUGAAAGUCCUCCCGCCUUCUGUCUGGUGCGAGGUCUUUCUAGACAUAAUGACCAGGUUCAGGCAAGGCUAUAAAUUCACUCAUUUUCCCUGCAAGGCAUUUGCAAAGAAUGCAGGAGAGUGAGAGUGGAAAGAAAAGGCAGAGAGAAAGAUGGCUGUGAUUGUCACAUCCCUAGCCGGGCCAAGCCCCAAAGUCUGCGCCUUGAGGCAGCCUCAGAGCCUGGCCGCCAUCUCUCUGUAGGAAACAGAACAUCUGAUCAAGUUCAGAGGCGCCAGGAGAGACCGCCUCAAGCAGCGCUUUAUAACUGCAGCCUUUCACUUCCUGCUCCCCAAUCUGCCUGGCCCAGCCAACACUUCACCUUCUUUCUUAGCCGGUUUGCUGGGAGAAAACCCUACCGGUAGCACAUCUUACCGUAUUCACCCCCUCCCAUCAAACUCGCCCCAAUUCUCUCUCCACAUCCAGAGCUCUCUCCCCAGGUUGGAAGACGGAGUUUUACUCUUGCUGCCCAGGCUGGAGUGCAAUGGUAUGAUCCUGGCUCACCGCAACCUCCGCCUCCCAGGUUCAAGUGAUUCUCCUGCCUCAGCUUCCCAAGUAGCUGGGAUUACAGAUAAGAGAAAGGCCAGAUCCAACAAACAUUGACUGAGCCAUCACCAAAUGUGGGGCCCCGCGGCAGAGACUCGAAGGGUCGUUCUGCAUAAAAAAGUUGAUGACAGCAUAGCUUCGUUUAUACAGCUGGGACCCUCUGGAGUCUACAGAUGGAUUGUUAGAGAUGUGGCCUGCCAGCUGCCUUUGGAGAGUAGCCAAAUCUGCUGGGACCCAGCCACUUCAGGCACAGAUGUGCUUGCCUUUCCUGAAUGGAUGUCUUCCAGAAACGUUGGCUGUGAUGUCUGGUUUUUGUAUCUAUUGUUACUUCCAACGAAGACACAUAUACAAAAGACUCCUGGCUGCCUUUUAAAUGAAAACGUGCAGCAUAUUAGGAUCAAUCAUUUGUCUAAUGUUGUAGACCUGGGGUUUCACCAUGUUGGCCAGGCUCUUCUAGAACUCCUGACCUCAUGA